rnacentral:rRNA from 1 species
UCCCGCCGGACCUGACUGCUAUCGGAUUGAUACUAAGCCAUGCGAGUCUUUGUAGUAAUACAAGGCAGACGGCUCAGUAACACGUAGUCAACCUACCCUAUGGACAAGAAUAAUCUCGGGAAACUGGGCAUAAUUCUUGAUAGAUCAUAAUGCCUGGAAUGGUUUAUGGUUAAAAUGAUUCGUCGCCAUAGGAUGGGACUGCGGCCUAUCAGCUUGUUGGUGAGGUAAUGGCCCACCAAGGCGAUUACAGGUACGGGCUCUGAGAGGAGAAGCCCGGAGAUGGGUACUGAGACACGGACCCAGGCCCUAUGGGGCGCAGCAGGCGAGAAAACUUUGCAAUGUGCGAAAGCACGACAAGGUUAAUCCGAGUGAUUUCUGCUAAAGAAAUCUUUUGCCAGUCGUAAAACCGCUGGUGAAUAAGGGGUGGGCAAGUUCUGGUGUCAGCCGCCGCGGUAAAACCAGCACCUCAAGUGGUCAGGAUGAUUAUUGGGCCUAAAGCAUCCGUAGCCGGCUUUGUUAGUUUUCGGUUAAAUCCAUGUGCUCAACGCAUGGGCUGCCGAAAAUACUGCAUAGCUAGGGAGUGGGAGAGGUAGACGGUACUCAGUAGGAAGGGGUAAAAUCCUUUGAUCUAUUGAUGACCACCUGUGGCGAAGGCGGUCUACCAGAACAUGUUCGACGGUGAGGGAUGAAAGCUGGGGGAGCAAACCGGAUUAGAUACCCGGGUAGUCCCAGCUGUAAACGGUGCAGACUCGAUGAUGCAUUGGCAUAAUAGCCAGUGCAGUGUCGCAGGGAAGCCGUUAAGUCUGCCGCCUGGGAAGUACGUACGCAAGUAUGAAACUUAAAGGAAUUGGCGGGGGAGCUCCACAAGGAGUGAAGCUUGCGGUUCAAU